rnacentral:rRNA from 1 species
AUUGAACGCUGGCGGCAGGCCUAACACAUGCAAGUCGAACGAGUGGCGGACGGGUGAGUAAUGUCUGGGAAACUGCCCGAUGGAGGGGGAUAACUACUGGAAACGGUAGCUAAUACCGCAUACCAUCGGAUGUGCCCAGAUGGGAGUAGCUUGUAGGUGAGGUAACGGCUGACCUAGGCGACGAUCCCUAGCUGGUCUGAGAGGAUGACCAGCCACACUGGAACUGAGACCCGGUCCAGACUCCUACGGGAGGCAGCAGGGGGGAUAAGUGCACAAGGGGCGAAAGCCUGAUGCAGACAUGCGGGGUAUAUGAAGAAGGCCUUCGGGUUGCAAAGUACUUUCAGCGGGGAGGCGUUACCCGCAGAAGAAGCACCGGCUAACUCCGUGCCAGCCGCCGCGGUAAUUC